CUUUAUACAUGCAAGUCGAGCGAGAACGCGACUUCGGUCGUUAGUACAGCGGCGAACGGGUGAGUAACACGUGGAUAACCUACCUAGGAGCAGGGGAUAACCCGGGGAAACCUGGACUAAUACCGCAUACGCUCGCCGGAUCUCGGUCCGGCCCGGAAAGGUGGCCAAUUCUUGAAAGCCAUCACUCCUAGAUGGGUCCGCGUCUGAUUAGCUUGUUGGUGGGGUAAUGGCCUACCAAGGCGGCAAUCAGUAGCCGGCCUGAGAGGGCGAUCGGCCACACUGGAACUGAGACACGGUCCAGACUCCUACGGGAGGCAGCAGUAGGGAAUAUUGCGCAAUGGGGGAAACCCUGACGCAGCAACGCCGCGUGGAGGAUGAAGGCCUUCGGGUCGUAAACUCCUGUCAGAUGGGACGAAAACGCACGGGUUAAAUACCCGUGAACUUGACGGUACCAUCAGAGGAAGCCCCGGCUAACUCCGUGCCAGCAGCCGCGGUAAUACGGAGGGGGCAAGCGUUAUUCGGAAUUAUUGGGCGUAAAGGGCGCGCAGGCGGCCUGUGCAAGUCAACGGUGAAAUCCCUCGGCCCAACCGAGGAACUGCCUUUGAUACUGCCAGGCUUGAGGCCGGGAGAGGGUAGUGGAAUUCCUAGUGUAGCGGUGAAAUGCGUAGAUAUUAGGAG
rnacentral:rRNA from 1 species